GAAGCGAGUGGAAGCCCUUCGGGGCGGAUACUCGUGGAACGAGCGGCGGACGGGUGAGUAACACGUGGGCAACCUACCUGUAAGACCGGAAUAACCCCGGGAAACCGGGGCUAAUCCCGGGUAACCGUUCGGUUCACCUGAACCGAACGUAAAAGGAUGGCUUCUCAGCUAUCGCUUACAGAUGGGCCCGCGGCGCAUUAGCUAGUUGGUAAGGUAACGGCUUACCAAGGCAACGAUGCGUAGCCGACCUGAGAGGGUGAUCGGCCACACUGGGACUGAGACACGGCCCAGACUCCUACGGGAGGCAGCAGUAGGGAAUCUUCCGCAAUGGACGAAAGUCUGACGGAGCAACGCCGCGUGAACGAUGAAGGCCUUCGGGUCGUAAAGUUCUGUUGUGAGGGAAGAACAAGGAUCGUGCGAACAGAACGGUCCCUUGACGGUACCUCACGAGGAAGCCCCGGCUAACUACGUGCCAGCAGCCGCGGUAAUACGUAGGGGGCAAGCGUUGUCCGGAAUUAUUGGGCGUAAAGGGCACGCAGGCGGUUCCUUAAGUCUGAUGUGAAAGCCCGUGGCUCAACCACGGAGGGCCAUUGGAAACUGGGGAACUUGAGAACUGAAGAGGAGAGUGGAAUUCCACGUGUAGCGGUGAAAUGCGUAGAUAUGUGGAGGAACACCAGUGGCGAAGGCGACUCUCUGGUCGGUUUCUGACGCUGAGGU
rnacentral:rRNA from 1 species